rnacentral:rRNA from 1 species
CUACGGGGGGCAGCAGUGAGGAAUAUUGGUCAAUGGGCGCGAGCCUGAACCAGCCAAGUCGCGUGAGGGAUGACGGCCCUACGGGUUGUAAACCUCUUUUGUCGGGGAGCAAAUUCCGCCACGUGUGGCGGAGUCGAGAGUACCCGAAGAAAAAGCAUCGGCUAACUCCGUGCCAGCAGCCGCGGUAAUACGGAGGAUGCGAGCGUUAUCCGGAUUUAUUGGGUUUAAAGGGUGCGUAGGCGGACUGUCAAGUCAGCGGUAAAAUACGGGGGCUCAACCUCCCCCCGCCGUUGAAACUGACGGUC